AAUAGAUACCCUGGUAGUCCUAGCCUUAAACGAUGAGCACUGGAUCGAAGGGAUUCCCAUGUCCUUUUGGUCGCACUGAAAAAGUUAAGUGCUCCGCCUGGGGAGUAUGGCCGCAAGGCUGAAACUCAAAGGAAUUGACGGGGGCUCACACAAGCGGUGGAGGAUGUGGCUUAAUUCGAGGCUACGCGAAGAACCUUAUCCUAGUCUUGACAUGUACGGAUUAACUUGGCGAAAGCCAGGCCACGCUCGCAAGAGUGGAACGUGCACAGGUGCUGCAUGGCUGUCGUCAGCUCGUGUCGUGAGAUGUCGGGUUAAGUCCCUUAACGAGCGAAACCCUUGUCUUUAGUUACCAUCAUUCAGUUGGGGACUCUAAAGAGACUGCCGGCGUUAAGCCGGAGGAAGGUGGGGAUGACGUCAAGUCCUCAUGGCCUUUAUGACUAGGGCUGCACACGUCCUACAAUGGUUUGUACAGAGCGACGCAAACUCGUGAGAGCCAGCAAAUCGCAAAAAGCAAACCUCAGUACGG
rnacentral:rRNA from 1 species